GACGAACGCUGGCGGCGUGCUUAACACAUGCAAGUCGAACGGAAAGGCCCUGCUUUUGUGGGGUGCUCGAGUGGCGAACGGGUGAGUAACACGUGAGUAACCUGCCCUUUACUUUUGGAUAACUUCAGGAAACUGGGGCUAAUACCGGAUAGGAGCUCCUGCCGCCUGGUGGGGGUUGGAAAGUUUCGGCGGUUGGGGAUGGACUCGCGGCUUAUCAGCUUGUUGGUGGGGUAGUGGCUUACCAAGGCUUUGACGGGUAGCCGGCCUGAGAGGGUGACCGGCCACAUUGGGACUGAGAUACGGCCCAGACUCCUACGGGAGGCAGCAGUGGGGAAUAUUGCACAAUGGGCGGAAGCCUGAUGCAGCAACGCCGCGUGCGGGAUGACGGCCUUCGGGUUGUAAACCGCUUUCGCCUGUGACGAAGCGUGAGUGACGGUAAUGGGUAAAGAAGCACCGGCUAACUACGUG
rnacentral:rRNA from 1 species